GGGGGUCUGUGGUGUUCUGUGGGGUUCUAUAGGGGAUCUGUGGGGUCUAUGGGGGAUCUAUGGGGAGAUCUAUGGGGGUCUGUGGGGAUCUAUGGGGUCCUGUGGGGUCUAGGGGGAAUUUAUGGGGGUCUAUGGGGUUCUGUGGGGCUCUAUAGAGGAUCUAUGGGGUUGUAUAGGGGAUCUGUGGGGUUCUGUGGGGUCUAGGGGGUAUUUAUGGGGAUCUAUGGGGGUCUAUGGGUCCCUAUGAGUCUCUAUGGGUCCCUAUGGGGUCUCUACGGGUCACUAUGGGUCUCUAUGGGUCCCUACGUGUCGCUAUGGGUCCUAUGGGUGCUGUGGGUCCCUAUGGGUCCCUAUGGGUCGCUAUGGGUCCUAUGGGUCUCUAUGGGUCCCUACGUGUCUCUAUGGGUUCUCUAUGGGUCCCUAUGGGUCUCUAUGUGUCCUAUGGGUCCUAUGGGUCCCUAUGGGUCCCUAUGGGUCCCUACGUGUCUCUAUGGAUCCUAUGGGUCCCUAUGGGUCCCCAUGGGUCCUACGGGUCCCUGUGGCUCCCUAUGGGUCCCUAUGUGUCUCUAUGGGUCCCUAUGGGUCUUUAUGGGUCUCUACGGGUCCGUGUGGGUCUCUAUGGGUCCCUAUGUGUCCCUAUGGGUCUGUAUGGGUCGCUAUGGGUCCCUAUGUGUCCCUAUGGGUCCUAUGGGUCCCUGUGGCUCCCUAUGUGUCCCUAUGUGUCCCUAUGUGUCUCUAUGGUUCCCUAUGGGUCUUUAUGGGUCUCUAUGGGUCCGUGUGGGUCCCUAUGGGUCCCCAUGUGUCCCUAUGGGUCUCUAUGGGUCUCUAUGGGUCCGUGUGGGUCCCUAUGUGUCCCUAUGGGUCCUAUGUGUCCCCAUGUGUCCCUACGGGUCCUAUGUGUCCCCAUGUGUCCCCGUGUGUCCCUGUGGGUGCGACUCACACGAGGUGGGUGCAGUCGGGCCCCCACUGCGGCCGGUACUUCGCCCCCAUGUUGACGGCGGCGGCCCUCAGGCGGCCCCGCAGCGGGUGGGUGAAACCGCUCAGCGCCACCACCACCCCCCCCAGGACCCCCGCCCCCUUUAUGGGGUCG
rnacentral:lncRNA from 1 species